UACGGGAGGAGCAGUGGGGAAUAUUGCACAAUGGGCGAAAGCCUGAUGCAGCUAUGCCGCGUGUAUGAAGAAGGCCUUAGGGUUGUAAAGUACUUUCAUCGGGGAGGAAAAAACAAAACUAAUAAUUUUAUUUCUUGACGUUACCCGAAAAAGAAGCACCGGCUAACUCCGUGCCAGCAGCCGCGGUAAUACGGAGGGUGCUAGCGUUAAUCAGAAUUACUGGGCGUAAAGAGCACGUAGGUGGUUUUUUAAGUUCAGAUGUGAAAUCCCUGGGCUUAAUCUAGGAACUGCAUUUUGAAACUGAAAUACUAGAGUAUCGUAGAGGGAGGUAGAAUUCUAGGUGUAGCGGUGAAAUGCGUAGAUAUCUGGAGGAAUCCUGUGGCGAAAGCGGCCUCCUAAACGAAUACUGACACUGAGGUGCGAAAGCGUGGGGAGCAAACAGGGAUUAGAUACC
rnacentral:rRNA from 1 species